UACGUAGGUGACCAGCGUUGUCCGGAUUUACUGGGCGUAAAGAGCGCGCAGGCGGUCAUUCAAGUCGAGUGUGAAAGCCCCCGGCUCAACUGGGGAGGGUCACUUGAUACUGAUCGACUCGAAGGCAGGAGAGGGAAGCGGAAUUCCCGGUGUAGUGGUGAAAUGCGUAGAUAUCGGGAGGAACACCAGUGGCGAAGGCGGCUUCCUGGCCUGUUCUUGACGCUGAGGCGCGAAAGCUAGGGGAGCAAACGGG
rnacentral:rRNA from 1 species